UACGAAGGUGGCAAGCGUUGUUCGGAUUUACUGGGCGUAAAGGGAGCGUAGGUGGUGGGGUAAGCCCCGCGGGGAAAGCUCCAGGCUUAACCUGGAAAGGUCGCGGGGGACUGCUCCGCUUGAGGACGGGAGAGGAGCGCGGAAUUCCCGGUGUAGCGGUGAAAUGCGUAGAGAUCGGGAGGAAGGCCGGUGGCGAAGGCGGCGCUCUGGAACGGCCCUGACACUGAGGCUCGGAAAGCGUGGGGAGCAAACAGGG
rnacentral:rRNA from 1 species